ensembl:lncRNA
UUUCAAAAAUGAAGGAUCAAGUUCAUGACAUGUUUACAAGACAAUAUAAAAGGAAGAGAGAACAUAACAAAGUACUAAACCUGGAUCCCAGCCAGAGAGGAACAACAAUAUCUUGACAGAGAACCUCAUGCAUCCCACAUGGGUCAUCUACAUUGUCCAAGAUCUGUGUGCAUCAGAGAUUACAACAGUGGAAAACAAAAGAAUUACGUAACAGAGAGGUCCUGAUGAGUGUAAACAAGAGAAACGUGACUUACUUCUGAGGCACUUUCCUGCCUGUAGUUGAAGCAGAGGGACAAGAGAAGGUCCGCCCUUCAAAUCUUCUCAGACAGUAAAAGAAAAAUGUAUUUCAUAACUGUCUGGAGUCUCUGAUACUGUUGUCCAGUGUUUCUGUUUAGUCAGUACUGUUAUUUAGAGCAGGGAUAAAGGAUUGAAUCAUACCCAAUUUCUUCCAAAGCUGUCAUUUGUUUCAAGAUCCAACUGAUAGCACUGAUGAAGUCUUAGGUAAACUAAAAAUGCAUUACUAAAGUCAAUCCUAUUUUAUUCAAAAGGGAAAUCAACCCUACUCCUAAAAGAGCUUGCUACCUACAGCUGCCAUAUGGAAGGAUGCAUAGAUGAGAAUGAAAUUCUCUCUGGGAUGGUACACUGGUCUCUGGUCUGGGGUACAUUGAUGGUGUAAGAACUGAGCAGCACAAAUUGGAAAACAGGAAAUUCUGAUUCUAUUUAUGAGGAAAAACUGAGGUAGUAAAAAAUUACUAGGCAAGUCUUUCAGCAAUCUGCUGUAAGUGAGCCUGCUUUGCACAGACGACUGGAGAUAAUGACUUCAGAAAGUCCCUUCCAAGAUCAGCUGUUCUAUGGCUCUGUGACCAUGUGAAAAGAAAGAACAUAAUCUGAAAGUUAGUUUUAACCUCAUAGCUGGAGCACUUGGUUUGCUAGAAGAGAUCUGAAUUUGGACCCCAGAGCAAAAUGCCUACAUAUAUACGUAUAUAUAUAAAUGCAUAUGCACAUGAUCUCAUACACACACAGAGGUGUUAAAACUUCGUUAAAAAAGUAGACAAAAAUGAGCCACUCCUUUUACAAAUUGUCAUAUGUUUUUGGCUCCUGAAGAGAGUUUGAAUUCUGGACUGUAAAUUACACAAGAGGAGCAUCUCUAGAAAUUUUGGGUGAGAAAACCAGUGAGUGGGAUUGAGACAUAUACCCUCAUUCUGCAAUCAGGAAGAAAUGCACCCACUUACUUACCUCAGGUACUUCCCUACCUCUGUCACAAAAUGUAUAAUUUCCUCCAUGCUUUUGUUCAAGAAAUCUGGGUAUCUCUUUUCCACCUAAGUAUCUGGGUGCCUUCAUUGAACUAUGUCCUGUCACAUAACGAAUUUCCCACAAAUAUACCAACAGGCUUGGAAGGUUUAUCCUUUCUAUGAACUAAAUCCACAGGCUUUCACUUUUUAUAUGGUUGAUUUCUAAUAUAUCUUACAGAAAAGCACUAAACCCCCCCCAACCUUCCCAAAUUAGUAGAUGCUGCAGUAUUCAAAUGAUCCAAAUGGAAACGACCUCAUUUAAAGAGAGUCCAGUCCUUACACACUCAUGCCUUAUUUGAUAUCAUUGUUCUCUUUCCCAGUAAGUGUGUAUGAUCGGUUAUCUCUUGUCUCACAAUGUAUUCUCUUGAGAGACAGUGAAAGGGAAAACUAAUUUCCAGUUCUGUGCUUUUUUUAAAGACCUCUCCACAUGAGGUCUUUGUUAUGGCUGCAGGCCCCAGGUGCUACAGUAACAUGAUAUUAUUUUAUUAUAAUCAUUGAUAUUAUUAUAGACCUUAUAAGAAAGAAGGAAGUGUAAUUACAAAAUUAAGCAGGAAGAGAGGAUGAUCAGUGAGGAAUUAAGUAUGGGGAAAUAGGCUCAAGAAAAGGGAAAAUUAUUUUUCUAUUUUAUAAAAAACAAGUACCACAAUUUCAACUUUUUAUAUACCCACACAAGUAGAAAAGUCUUCACCUAUGCAAAAGCCUGAAAAUGAGCUCAGUGUGAAAACAAUGUUUUGUGCAUACAAAUCUAUUGUAAAUCAUUUUUAAAGAUUUUCACCUUUGCUCCAUGCAAUAA